rnacentral:misc_RNA from 2 species
CGGAGUUCAGUCUUCCCAGGCCCACCACUUUCAUCGAGUGAGCAUUCGUCUUCUGGUUACGGGGCCAUAGCUCAGCUGGGAGAGCGCGUGCUUUGCAAGCAUGAGGUCGUCGGUUCGAUCCCGUCUGGCUCCACCAGAUGGUUUGAUCACCGAGAUCUUGUACCGUCGUCCGCGAAACAUCACUUCGCAUCCUGCUAGUCUGGAUAGACAGCAAGAUGCGUGUUUUCUGACAUCGUAAAGAGGAGAUCGAUCCGAGUUGGGUCGUGCAGCGGAUUGUUGCGCGAAUCCUUCAUUAUCUCCGGAUCAUUUUCGGCGCUCGCUUUCAGCCGUGAGGUUGAAUGCGAGUUGUAAAAUGAUCCUUUUAGCGAAGCUUGACCGCCUCGCUAUCGGAACGAUCUUACGAAGCAAGCUGGUCUUUCUAGUCAAUGUCCGGCUGUGCGUAGCGUUCAUCGAGGGCGCGUGCCGUAAGGCAAUCGUACAGACAACAUUCUGCCGAGUGUGUGGACAUUGAUAAUGAGAGCAAUCAAGUGCCUUAAGGGUGUUCGGUGGAUGCCUUGGCGCUGAGAGGCGAUGAAGGACGUGCUACGCUGCGAUAAGCCGUGGGGAGCUGCGAAGAAGCUUUGAUCCGCGGAUUUCCG